rnacentral:lncRNA from 1 species
CGGGACCAAAAGUUAAGAAUCUACAUACACAGUCAUGACAGUUAGAUUCGGCAUAUCAAAGAACCCCAAUUAUUCAAUUUUUGAUGAAAUCAAACAAAGUUUAAUUUUGGACCCUUCGGGCCCCUUAUUCUGUUGGGACCAAAACUCCCUAAAUCAAUACCAACCUUCCUUUUAUGGUCAUAAACCUUGUGUUUAAAUUUCAUAGAUUUCUUUUUACUUAUACUAACGUUAUGGUGCGAAAACCAAGAAAAAUGCUUAUUUGGGUCCCUUUUUGGCCCCUAAUUCCUAAACUGUUGGGACCUAAACUCCCAAAAUCAAUACCAACCUUUCUUUUGUAGUCAUUAACAUUGUGUUUAAAUUUCAUUGAUUUCUAUUUACGUAAACUAAAGUUAUUGUGCGAAAACCAAGAAUAAUGCUUAUUUGGGCCCUUUUUUGGCCCCUAAUUCCUAAACUGUUGAAACCAAAACUCCCAAAAUCAAUCCCAACCGUUCUUUUGUGGUCAUAAACCUUGUGUCAAAAUUUCAUAGAUUUCUAUUAACUUAAACUAAAGAUAUAGUGCGAAAACCAAGAAAAUGCUUAUUUGGGCCCUUUUUGGCCCCUAAUUCCUAAAAUGUUGGGACCAAAACUCCCAAAAUCAAUACCAACCUUCCUUUUGUGGUCAUAAACCUUGUGUUAAAAUUUCAUAGAUUUCCAUUCACUUUUACUAAAGUUAGAGUGCGAAAACUAAAAGUAUUCGGACGACGACGACGCCAACGUGAUAGCAAUAUACGACGAAAAAUUUUUCAAAUUUUGCGGUCGUA